rnacentral:rRNA from 1 species
UACAGAGGGUGCGAGCGUUGUUCGGAAUUAUUGGGCGUAAAGAGCUCGUAGGCGGUUUGUCGCGUCUGCCGUGAAAACCCGAGGCUUAACCUCGGGCUGGCGGUGGAUACGGGCAGACUAGAGGUAGGUAGGGGAGAAUGGAAUUCCCGGUGUAGCGGUGAAAUGCGCAGAUAUCAGGAGGAACACCGGUGGCGAAGGCGGGUCUCUGGGCCGAUACUGACGCUGAGGAGCGAAAGCGUGGGGAGCGAACAGG